rnacentral:rRNA from 1 species
GUGGAUCGAUGAAGACCGCAGCUAAAUGCGCGUCAGAAUGUGAACUGCAGGACACAUGAACACCGACAAGUUGAACGCAUAUUGCACAUCGUACAACAGUACGAUGUACACAUUUUUGAGUGCCUAUAUUUAUCUAUUCAACUGUGUGUGCUCUCUCGGGGGCACGCACGCAGCAUGGUGUUUUACUGCCUUCGGUGGCUGGUAAAACAUUUAAGAUACUCCCGGUUCGGGUGCGACGACCAUCACUGGUGCGCGACACGACGUGAGAAUACAUCCCACACACCAACCUGGCUUGGGCGCCGAUGUAAACUCUCUCAGUCAUCCGAUGUCGCGGUGCCGCGUCCGCCCACCACAUGAACCGUAUCUGAUAAAUCCAUGUAGGCCUCAAAUAAUGUGUGACUACCCCCUAAAUUUAAGCAUAUUAAUAA